GAGGCCCCAGCAUCACCGCCAGCACUGUCCUCACUGACGGAGUCAACAUGAACACCUCAACACUCCUCAGCCGUCCCUUCCUGCUGGUGGUGGUUCUGGCGGUGUCUUGGGCCGCGGCUGUCCCUCUGCAGGACACGAGUCUCCUGCAGGACAUCCACUCGGAGACGCAGCUGCAGGAGUUUCUGGAGAACAAUCCUUCUGUGGCACUCCAGAUGUACCCUGACCUCCUCCGGGAAGCCUCAGAGGUGAUGGUGGUCGUCGAUCCGGACGUGGUGGUGGAGAUGCUGAGGCGGAGGAGCCUGGAGGCGGCGGACAUGGAGGAGCAGCAACAGCAGGAGCAGGAGGAGGAGGAGGAGGAGGAGCCACAGAAAGGAUCGGUGGAAGAGGAGGAGGAGGAGGAGCAUGACCGCAGGAAGAGACAGGCCACGUUCGGCUUUGGAAUGAAUCGAGGAGCCUACGGCAGGAACUACCAUGCCAGUGCGGGCUACAACCGUCGCUUCAACAACGGCAGGACCGCCGUCGGUGUCAACGCCCACAGGAACUGGGGCUCCAGCGGCAAGUAAGUCCUUGCUAGCAUUAGUAAACACAACACUGAUGGCAGAUGUACCGUGUUUAGUAGAUAAUUCAUGUUUACCUAACCUUGCUGAGGCAUGCCUCUCAUUUGACUCCUACUUGCCUCUUUGCAGAUCCCACGGGGUUGGAAUCAGCUUCUCGCACAGGUUCCGCCGCUAGAGGGCGUCGGGAACACCGGCCGGCACCACUGCCGAGAUGACACCUUACCGUACACCAAGUGGGCCGCUCUGCUGCCACGCUCAACUCCUACGAGACAUAAUGUUGUUCAUUAUAUAAGUGAACUGAUUUAUUAUGUACUUCUUUACAUAAUUACCGAAAAAUAUAUUUGUUUUUGGAUA